rnacentral:ncRNA from 2 species
CAGAUGCCGCCCGUUUCAGGUGUCUGCCGCCGCCGCGCGGCAGGUGAAACGGGAAGCCGGUGCGUCCUUUAGGACAAGUCCGGCGCUGCCCCCGCAACGGUAAGCGAGUGAAGCAUUCAACAGGCCACUGUGCGCAGACGCAUGGGAAGGCGAAGCGCUUCGAUACCCGCAAGCCCGGAGACCGGCCUGAAGCAUCACGACUGA